AUUGAACGCUGGCGGCAGGCCUAACCCAUGCAAGUCGAACGAGUGGCGGACGGGUGAGUAAUGUCUGGGAAACUGCCUGAUGGAGGUGGAUAACUACUGGACACGGUAGCUAAUACCGCAUACCAUCGGAUGUGCCCAGAUGGGAUUAGCUAGUAGGUGGGGUAAAGGCUCACCUAGGCGACGAUCCCUAGCUGGUCUGAGAGGAUGACCAGCCACACUGGAACUGAGACACGGUCCAGACUCCUACGGGAGGCAGCAGUGGGGAAGAUUGAACAAUGGGCGCAAGCCUGAUGCAGCCAGGCCGCGUGUAGGAAGAAGGCCUUUGGGUUGUAAAGUACUUUCAGCGGGGAGGCGUUACCCGCAGAAGAAGCACCGGCUAACUCCGUGCCAGCAGCCGCGGUAAUAC
rnacentral:rRNA from 1 species